CAAGGGAAUUAAGAGCUUGCCUCUUAUGAAGUUAGCGGCGGUACGGGAUGAAGCUAACACGUGGGUAACCUUGCCCAUAAGACUGGGAUAACUCCGGGAAACCGGGGCUAAUACCGGAUAACAUUUUGAACCGCAUGGUUCGAAAUUGAAAGGCGGCUUCGGCUGUCACUUAUGGAUGGACCCGCGUCGCAUUAGCUAGUUGGUGAGGUAACGGCUCACCAAGGCAACGAUGCGUAGCCGACCUGAGAGGGUGAUCGGCCACACUGGGACUGAGACACGGCCCAGACUCCUACGGGAGGCAGCAGUGGUCAUAGCUU
rnacentral:rRNA from 1 species